rnacentral:tRNA from 1 species
GAAGCGCUAGUAAAGAAAUUACGUUACUUUGUCAAAGUGAGGUUGCAGGUGAGACUCUUGCGCGUUUUA